rnacentral:rRNA from 1 species
AGUGAACGCUGGCGGUAGGCCUAACACAUGCAAGUCGAACGGCAGCACCGGAGCGCUUGCCCCCCAGGUGGCGAGCGGCGGACGGGUGAGGAUUACAUCGGAAUCUGCUCAGCCGUGGGGGUUCACGUAGGGAAAAUUAUCCUCAUACCGAAUAUGUCCUUCGUGUGGAAGAGGGGGAUCGCAAGUACCCUCGUGAUUGGAUGAGCCGAUGUCGGAUUAGCUAGUCAGCGGGGUAAUGGCCCACCAAGGCGGCGACCCGUAGCUGGUCUGAGAGGAGGAUCAGCCACACUGGAACUGAGACACAUUCCCGACUCCUACGGUAGGCAGCAGUGGGGAAUAUUGGGCAAGGGAGGCAAGCCUAAUCCAGCCAUACCGCGUAGGUGAAGAAGGCCUUCUGGUUGUAGAGCCCUGUUGUUGGGAAAGAAAUCUUGCAGGCUAAUACCCUAGGAUGAUGACGGUACCCAAAGAAUAAGCACCGGCUAACUUCGUG